GAGAGUAUAGCUCAGUGGUAGAGCGCAUGCUUAGCAUGCACGAGGUCCUGGGUUCAAUCCCCAGUACCUCCA
rnacentral:tRNA from 1 species